AUCUAUGGCCAUAUUACCCUGAACAAGCCCGAUUCUGUCUGCUCUCAGAAGCUAAGCAGGGUCGGGCCUGGUUAGUACUUGGAUGGAAGACCACCUAGGAAGACUGGGUGCUGUAGGCA
rnacentral:rRNA from 1 species